CUUUUUGUCCCAUACAACUCAGG
rnacentral:piRNA from 1 species